rnacentral:lncRNA from 1 species
GGUUACAGGUUAACAUGAAUUAUGUGAAGUGGCUAUGGAUUAUACAUGGUGAUGACAUGCUAAACAGGUAUGAUUUCGAGUUGCAAGUUUUGAGUUAUUUUAGCAAACUGCAUGAUGACUUAUUGAUGCGGGUUGCAGGGUAAUGGUCUACUGAUGGGUGAGCAAGGUGGUUGCAUUCCUACUGCAGGUGUGAGUGAUGUUACGUGUGAAUCUGAUUUUUUAGUUCUGUUAUAGUUAAUUGGUUUUGUUAAAUGAUGUUAGUGAUAGUUGGUUGAAAUCUGUUAGGAGAAAAUCGUUAGCUUGAGUUUGAGUUAGCUGGUUUUUAAUUAGUUAAUUUCUUUGUAGCUUCAGUUGAGUUCGGUUGUUAGCUUGAAACUAAGUUUUGAAUUUAGGUAUGUUAGAUUUCAGUUGUUAAUCCUCUGUUAGUUAAUUAGUGUUGAAUCAACUAGAAGCUUAUUAGUUACAUUUAAUUUGUGAAGUCUAAUGGUGAUAUAAUGUGUUAGUUAACAGGCUGUUAUCAGUUAGGAAAACAUACAAGCUGUCAUAUGGUUUACUCAUGCCCUGUAUUGACUGUUAUGCCUUGGUCUAAAUAUUAGGACUAGUUUGCCUAUUUUUAGUGUUUGCUUGUUAUGAUGGUUGCUUAAUGAUGUUAAUGACUUGCUUUGAUAUGCUUGCAGACCCAUAAUGAGCUCAUGGUGGCAUAGCCAAAGGAAGCACAUGGAGGCCUUUGAGGAUGCAAGGAUGGGCUGCCAUAUUAAAAGCUCUUUUUUCCUUUCUUCCUUUUGAUUCAAACCAUGUUAUGAAAUAGAAUUGGGGCUUACUCUUUGUAUGGAUAUGAUCAUGUAAAGAUACACUUUGUAAUCAAACUUCAAUUAUCACUUCAAAUUAUGGAUGCCAUUUACACGGAUGCAAGCUAGUAAAUGAAUGAAAGUUAUGAGGUUUGGUUCUUUCUAGAAAAAGUCAAUUGUCGACCAAAGUCAACUUUGGUCGAAGUUAUAUUUUUUGUAAUUUUAUUUGUGAUGCAAUUAAUGAACAAAAACGGUUCUUUUAU